UACAAUUCCUAUCUGUGGUCUUAGAUUCUCUCAUGGCUUUAAAAAGACUGUGCAAAUUCAAGGGCAAAAGGAGAUGAAUGAUGUUAAUUAAUAUCAACUCAGAAUGUUAACACUGGCUCAGUGUUUCUAUCCACCUAGAAAGAACUUUUUAAAUUGUGAAUUCUGUUUCCUGUCUCACAGUACAAUUCUUCUAUUUUAGAAUAUGAUGAAGAUUUUGAAGCAGAUGAAGAAGUUAAUGAAGAGGGACAGACUGGUGAUCAAAUGAAUGGAAUGUCAAAGUCAUCCUCAAAUGAUAAAAACCAUAAUUUAGACUAUGGAAAGGAGAGUGAAACCUCGUCUCAGAAGGCACUGCAGGCCUCUGACAGUGAGAAAGAUAAAAGUGGCAGAUAUUCUGAUGACAGGGACUCUGAAGAUGAUCUACCAGAGAGGAGGCCUGCAGACUCUCUCUCAUCCAUGAGCACUCAGUGCAGCACUGAGACUGACUCUCAAGCUGAAAUGAAGGCAGACCACGUGAAUUGCAAAGAGGACUGCAAUAUCAAAAGUACAUCUGAUAGUGCAGCACAUGCACACUGUGGAAAUGAGAAUGGGGAGAAGAAACUGCUCAGAGUGGAGGAAAAUCAAGAGAAUUCUGCACUGGAAAAGAAAGGAAUAGAUGAAUCAGAAAAGACAAAACCAGAAGAUCUAACAGCAAGGGAAGAUACUAGAAUUUUUCUUGAAAACAUAAGGGCAAUGCAGUAUCAAAGUCCUGAGGUUAAUGGGGAAUUCAAACAGACUGGGUCAGGAGAAAGUAACAUGAAUGAGGAGGAGAAAUGUCCUCCAGUGCCUUGGGAAAGCAGGGUAUUGAGCAAGGAGGAUGGCAACGAGGAGCCUCCUUGGUGUGGGGAAGGAGGUGUUUUUGAAGAAUGCAAACCAGUCCAGGAAGAAAUAGCAAAAGCAACUGGAAGUGAUCAUGCUGUGAAUUCUGACCCUGAGCCUGGUGAUUUUUGUGCCAAUGAGGAAGAAAAGAAUGCAGCAAAUACAGAGCAUGGUGCCAGUGGAGGUAAGAUUGGCUGUCAGUCAGAGACAAGGAUUACCUGAAGUCUUUUAAUGGAAGUGUUUGCCCUUUCCCU
ensembl:lncRNA